AGUCAACAUGCCCAAAGGACGUGGAUAACCUCGGGAAACUGAGGAUAAACCGCGAUAGGUCAUAAGUACUGGAAUGUUUUAUGGCUCAAAUCUACAUGGCCUCUGGAUUGGACUGCGGCCGAUCAGGCUGUUGGUGAGGUAAUGGCCCACCAAACCUGUUACCGGUACGGGCUCUGAGAGGAGGAGCCCGGAGAUGGGCACUGAGACAAGGGCCCAGGCCCUAUGGGGCGCAGCAGGCGCGAAACCUCUGCAAUAGGCGAAAGCUUGACAGGGUUACUCUGAGUGAUUCCCGCUAAGGGAAUCUUUUGGCAUCUCUAAAAACGAUGCAGAAUAAGGGGUGGGCAAGUCUGGUGUCAGCCGCCGCGGUAAUACCAGCACCCCGAGUGGUCGGGACGAUUAUUGGGCCUAAAGCAUCCGUAGCCGGUCUUGCAAGUCCUCCGUUAAAUCCACCUGCUUAACAGAUGGGCUGCGGAAGAUACUACAAGACUAGGAGGCGGGAGAGGCAAGCGGUACUCAGUGGGUAGGGGUAAAAUCCUCUGAUCCAUUGAAGACCACCAGUGGCGAAGGCGGCUUGCCAGAACGCGCUCGACGGUGAGGGAUGAAAGCUGGGGGAGCAAACCGGAUUAGAUACCCGGGUAGUCCCAGCUGUAAACGAUGCAGACUCGGUGAUGGGCCGGCUUCAUGCCGGCUCAGUGCCGCAGGGAAGCCGUUAAGUCUGCCGCCUGGGGAGUACGGUCGCAAGACUGAAACUUAA
rnacentral:rRNA from 1 species